UACGUAGGGUGCGAGCGUUAAUCGGAAUUACUGGGCGUAAAGCGUGCGCAGGCGGUUCGUUGUGUCGGUGGUGAAAGCCCCGGGCUUAACCUGGGAAUGGCCGUCGAAACUGGCGAACUGGAGUGUGGCAGAGGGGGGUGGAAUUCCGCGUGUAGCAGUGAAAUGCGUAGAGAUGCGGAGGAACACCGAUGGCGAAGGCAGCCCCCUGGGCUGACACUGACGCUCAUGCACGAAAGCGUGGGGAGCAAACAGG
rnacentral:rRNA from 1 species